rnacentral:misc_RNA from 1 species
GGAGAGUUUAAUUUCCAUACCUGGGGAUGGAAUCUGAUGAUGGAUAUGAAGAGACACCAUACAGAUGUUUAAAACAUCAUCAUAAUGAUGAUGAAUUCCAACAGUAACUACAGAGAAAAGCAUGAACUUCUUCGCCCUCGAUGAUCAGUUCUUAUUUCUUCUUUCCGGUGCCAAUUGAUAAUAGUUCAAAGCUUCGAAGUGCAUCAUCACGACUGCCUUUUGUAGCAGAACGGAAAAAGGAUGAUUUUGACUCAGCCCCAGGUUGAAUCCUUUGAGUAGAAGCAGACAGACGGCUGCUGCUUGACAAAAGUCGGCUUGAGCGGAGUUCACUUGGCUCCCCAGAGGAGCUAGGCCGACUGGUUGACAAUACAGGCCUCUUAGAAGCACUCCCUUGCCGAGAAGAACUCCGUGCUCGUUCUGCAUCCGGUUGCACAUCCUUGGAAGAGGGCACGUCAUCAGAGGAUCUAUGUCUGGAGUGAUCACUGUGUAGACCAAUCCCAGUGCCAUUCCUUCUAGCCGGGGUGCAGUAGAGGCUUUUGC